GCGCAUGGCACGGGGUGUCCCGCACGAUAGCGGGGCUGAGAAACACCCGUCGAACCUGAUCCAGUUCAUACCGGCGAAGGGAUGUCAGCGCAGUCGUCA
rnacentral:ncRNA from 2 species